rnacentral:rRNA from 1 species
AUUGAACGCUGGCGGCAUGCCUUACACAUGCAAGUCGAGCGGCAGCACGGGAGCAAUCCUGGUGGCGAGUGGCGAACGGGUGAGUAAUGUAUCGGAACGUGCCCAGUCGUGGGGGAUAACGUAGCGAAAGCUACGCUAACACCGCAUACGAUCUAUGGAUGAAAGCGGGGGACCGUAAGGCCUCGCGCGAUUGGAGCGGCCGAUAUCAGAUUAGGUAGUUGGUGGGGUAAAGGCCUACCAAGCCGACGAUCUGUAGCUGGUCUGAGAGGACGACCAGCCACACUGGGACUGAGACACGGCCCAGACUCCUACGGGAGGCAGCAGUGGGGAAUUUUGGACAAUGGGCGCAAGCCUGAUCCAGCAAUGCCGCGUGAGUGAUGAAGGCCUUAGGGUUGUAAACCGCUUUUGUCAGGGAAGAAAUCUUCUGGGUUAAUACCUCGGGAGGAUGACGGUACCUGAAGAAUAAGCACCGGCUAACUACGUGCCAGCCGCCGCCGUAAAAC